CAGCCAGCUCCGUGCUGGGAAUUGUCGUCCUCUGCGUGGCGCAGUGCACGCCGGGAACUGUAGUGGACGUGUUGGGGCCGCGCCCCGGGCGGGGCGGGAGCGGCUCUCCCGGGCCUGCCCGGUCCCUGCCCGCCCCGCGGGGCGACGGGGGUUGCGGGCAGCAGGACGCGGACCCAGGCCGGCCCGGGACCGGGGGCUCGGUGGGAGCGCGCAGACCCGAGCCCGGCCGGGCCCGCGUCCCCGCGGAGCUCCCGCUGCACCGGGGCUCUGCAGUGGGGCGGCGCCGUUCGACCUGCGCGGGCCUCCCCGCCCCGCCGGGCGCGCGCUCCUCAUUGCCGCGAAACUCGGGAUUUGGGCCUUUUUUUGGGUUGUUUUUAUUUAAAUAAAACCCGCAACAGACCCCCUCCAACAGGCGGCUUGGCCGGGGCGGCGCGUUCUGAUUUUCCUUCUCAAUGUCAAUCGCGGUGCUGCUUAAAAUGUAAACAGCAGCAAAAUCCGGUGUCUCUCCUGGCGCCCAGGGCUUAAGUGUCGUCAAACCGGAUCAGCCGGUGCGCCCUCGGUCCCCUCCUUGCUCCGCGGCCGGCGUUUGGGAGGAUCCUCCCCCCGCAGCAGCUUCCCCGGGGCGGCGGGGAGGAUCCCCCCCGUUCCGGGAUGUGCUGUAAUUUCAGAUUUCACUAAUGAGCUUGCCUGUGUGACCUGCACACCUUGUCUGUGUUGCCCUUUGCUUUGGGGAUUGAUGGUUGAAGCACCUAAUCCUGCCCACCCGGCCUCUGCCUUUAAUUGUUCUGAGAUUUGAGAACUUGCUCUGUAUCACCGCACGGGGACUGGCCGUGGAUGAAUAAAAUUAAUCACAAGUAGUGCUAAGAAACAGAAAAUGAGGGAGAAAAUUGUUUCUGCUAAUGAUUCUUUUCCAUUUUGUAUUGACAUGGCCGGCUGCGUGCUUCCCUCUGCCAGCUCGGGCACCGUGCCGUGGACCUGUUGCUGUGGAUUCAAGGUGUUCCUGGGUUUGCUGGGAGACCAGUGCGAAAAAUUUAGAUUCCAGCAACCUAGAGAAGGAAAGCAGCCGUCCCUCAGGUAGCCUGCUCCCACCUCACUUGGAGUCUCGCCUGCUUGUUGGGUUGGAGGCCAACAGAGAACCUGCGGAGGCUGAGUGUGGAUCUCCCACCUCCUGCCUGUUGUGGAGUCGGCCUAAGAUAACACUUCUGGUUUGGUCCAGGGCAGCACAGAAGUGGGCUCGUUUCUGGUGUGAUUCACGUAUUCCACUUUCAGAGCAGAAGAUGGACGUUGAUGAGACUAUAAAAUGGGCAUGCUUGCUUGAGACAUCCUUCCUUACCCUUUGAAGUGCACAGAAGUGUUCCCACUGAUUCCAAUGCGAAAAGCUGCCUCUUUGUCUAGUGUGUUGGUCCGUAUGGCAGUUAGUAUUUCAUAAUGAUUGGAAGGGAAAAGGACCAGGGACUGAUUAAUGAAGACUUUGGAUGCUUGAAGACCAGGGUAUUUUAAACAGUACAUGUAAUUUGCAGAUCAGUAAUUUAGUAGUUUGUUUGGUUGUGUGUUUGUUUUAAAAAAAAACACACCCAAACUGAUCCAGUUAGCAUCUUAGCGGUGGCUAAAAUUGAGUGUAAAAGACAGCCAGUUACAACUGAAAACCUUGCACUGUGAGACCACCUGUUAUUCCUGUGGUAACAAAAAUAGCCUGCAGAACAACUGAAGAUGAGCUGAAAGCAAGACAUUGAAAUCAAAUUGCAGGCUAGGUUAUCUGACAGCGUCCUUCACAGUGCCAGUGACCACCUGGAGUCCAGCAUUAUGUGAGGACUGGCAUGCAUAGCAGCCAGAGCCCAUCUCAGUCAUGUAGGGAAUCACUUUCCAAAUGGAGUUUUCCUGCCAACGGGGUUUGUUUGCUUGGUGAUAAGAAACAAUGGUCAACUCAGUUUGUUACUUGAGCAUUUUAGUGACGGAGAAGUGGAAUCUGGCAUCGCGUGCUAAAUCCAUUUUCUUAGCUAAUCAAAUGCCAACUUGGCAGCCUCUCUAGAAAGCUGAUAGCACUGGGACAGGCGUUAUUGUGGGAAUUGUUUUCAACAAUCUCUAGUAAGUCUGCUUUUAAGACACCUCUUUCUGUUGGGGAAAAAACACAGUUAUCACCUUCAGGACUGGCAGAGAGAAGAAAAAGGCAUGGGCAUUGUCUGCAGCUUAAUAUUGUACUUGUUGAAGUACUGUAAAAACAGGAAUGGAUCUAGCUUUGAGUAAGCUUAGUACAUAUUUACUGGAGUGGUGUUAGCCAUAGCUGAGAGCAGGGAAAAGAAUGGCACAGAGGACCUAAUUCCCCUUGUUUUGUUGGAAGAGGGACAACAAGAGGAGACACGACUUUUCCAAUUACAGAUGAGGGAUUCGAUCUGUUCUUCUGCUAAAAAAUAUGUAGUUAUACCUCAUUUUUUGCAUCUGGGGUCAACUUAAACUAGAACAUAAACUCAUUUCUCUCACAGGCCUUUCCAGUUGUCAGAAAUAGCUAGAAAGCAGAAAUACUUUGCCAAAACCCUUCGAUCUGGGAAAAGCACCGUGCACUUGCAGUGUGACGGUGCCGAGUUGGUGCACUGUCUUGGUGCCUCUUGGUGCCACCCCGUGUGGCUGGAGAAUCAGAGCAAGACUGUCCUUGAGCACAGCACAAUAACACCCAGGUCUCAAGUUGUGACCCCGUGGUGUGCAGCUUCCUAAAGUCCUGAGACUUGACCUUUGGAUAAAACUCGAUGCUACUUGACAAAGCUUGAGAGUGGUAUCCAGGGAGAGGACAACUCGAUCUAGGUUACAUAUCCUUACUUUACUGAUGUCACAAACAAGUUGUUAUUCUUGUAGACUGCAGAAAGCCUCACAACCACAAAACCAGCAAUAAUUUUAUAAAUGAUAAGCUUGUUUUCCUCCUCCUCUUCCCAACAUGCUCCAAGUGCAGCAGGCAGCAGAGAUGCUGGAAUCCAGAGAGUUUCAUAACAUGGCAGCCGCUUGCUGAAAGCCUUGCAGAUACAAAACAACACUUAUUUUCAGUCUUGAGAAACAUCUCCUACUAAAUAGAAGAAAAAAGCAUUUAGGUGAAGCAAUGUUGCCAAUCCCAUUUGUUUGUGAGGCUUGUUUUCCAUCUUUCCACAUUUUAAAUGCUUCUUAUUUUCAUUCUGCCUUUUGAGCCGUUCAAGUUCAUGUUUUCCAUUUUUUUCCGUAUGACAAGAAAGUCUGGAAUCAAGUCCUUACUUUAAAACCGAAAAUCUGGUUGAGAGUCCCAUAUAAUCAUAUAGCUCGAGACAUACGGUGUUUAAAAAUAAAGCCACUUCCAUGAGAA